CUUGGGACCAUCUUUACAGCAUCGCCUUUAAGGUGAGGUGUAAUAACUAAUUUGGCAAAGCAUCGUUAAGUCAGCUAUUCGUUAAGGAAAGUCAAGUGAAACUUUAGCCUCCAAUACUGUUUCAAUGAUAUACAAUGGAGCACGUUACAAUGGGAUGAUUAUUGUGCUGUUUUGUAGCUAACUGAUGCAAUUUUGCCUUUGUGGACCUCUCUUUGUUACUUUGAACUCUCAUUGUGGACAUUGCACCCUUGUAAUACUUGUCACUGAUUACAGACUUUUCCAUUGAAGGUAUCUGAGCUCUUCCGAAGUGGGCAGGCAAUUCAGUGCUUGGAUCAGGAAGCAAAGAAUGAAAAAAUGGAAAUGUUAGUAAAAAAAAAAAACAACAUUUUUCAUCACGUUUUCUGUUUUUACUACAUGUGCAAUGUUUUUCCUUAUUCCUCUUCUACUCUUUUUAUUCUUUCAUUUUUCUAAAUAACAUUUCUUAGCUUCUUGUCCUACUCCACAUCUGUCUUGUCUGAUCAAGUCCUCCGUCAAGUUCUUUUAUUUGUUCUGUGAUUCUCUCUGUAGGUGCCAGAAUAUGGUUUCCAAUUUUCUUAGUCUAGACCUCGAGGAUCCACAGCUUGACCUGCAACAAUAUAUGACCAAAGAGAUAAUUCCUUCUUCAAACAUCCUAUAAACUGUCCCACUACUUUCCAUCCUCCUUUCCUAUUCUGCCCCCAUACACAGGGUGAUAUCAGAGUUUUCACUGUAAAAUGUUGUACUUAAACUAAACGCUUAUUGCAAGACAUUGUUCCAUUGUUAUUUUCCCUAUAUUUAAAUAUGUAUAACAUACACUGGUAAUGUACUGGUAUAUCAGGUUUUAGCCCAAAAUAAGUCAGAAUUCUUUUCCCAUUCAGCCAUUAUGGACUAAAAUGUGAAACUCUUGUCAGUUCUUUGCAAAUAAGGUUUGUUAAUAACCCUGACAAUCUUGUUGACCUCAUUAUGUGGUCCGCAGCUGCAUAUAUCCCCCCACUGUGACUGCUUAAUGGAGGAAAUCUUUUAUUGGGAGAGCAGGGGAGAGUGGUCUCUGG